GCCCUGGGCUGGGGCUCAGCUGGUAGGGUGUGAGACUCUUGAUCUCAGGGUCCUGGGUUCCAGCCCCAGGUUGGGCU